UACGUGGGGUCCAAGCGUUGUUCGGAAUUACUGGGCGUAAAGCGCACAUAGGCGGGUAUGAAAGUCGAUUGUGAAAUCCCCGGGCUAAACCUGGGAACUGCAGUCGAAACGUUAUAUCUUGAGUGCCUGAGAGGGUGGGGGAAUUCCUGGUGGAGUAGUGAAAUACGUAGAGAUCAGGAGGAACACCGGAGGCGAAGGCGCCUACCUGGCGGUGCACUGACGCUAAUUGUGCGAAAGCGCGGGGAUCAAACAGG
rnacentral:rRNA from 1 species